rnacentral:rRNA from 1 species
UACGGAGGGUGCAAUCGUUGUUCGGAAUCAUUGGGCGUAAAGCGCGUGUAGGCGGCCUGGUAAGUCGGGUGUGAAAUCCCGGGGCCCAACCCCGGAACUGCAUUCGAAACUGCCUCGCUAGAGUCCCGGAGAGGAAGGCGGAAUUCACGGUGUAGAGGUGAAAUUCGUAGAUAUCGGGAGGAUCGCCAGCGGCGAAGGCGGCGUGCUGGACGGUGACUGACGCUGAGACGCGAAAGCGUGGGGAGCAAACAGG